rnacentral:rRNA from 1 species
UACGAAGGGGGCUAGCGUUGCUCGGAAUCACUGGGCGUAAAGCGCACGUAGGCGGAUCUUUAAGUCAGGGGUGAAAUCCUGGAGCUCAACUCCAGAACUGCCUUUGAUACUGGAGAUCUCGAGUCCGGAAGAGGUGAGUGGAACUCCGAGUGUAGAGGUGAAAUUCGUAGAUAUUCGGAAGAACACCAGUGGCGAAGGCGACAUACUGGUCCGUUACUGACGCUGAGGCUCGAAAGCGUGGGGAGCAAACAGG